rnacentral:lncRNA from 1 species
CUUUUUGAGACAAAGGAUCACUCCACAUACAACCAUACCUAAGGAAAUGCUUUGAAGGAAUUGAGCAGCUUGCUUUUAAUCACAAGAGAGAAAGUACCCACAUGGAGUCAACAGAAAAUGAAAAGUAGAGCUCGUGCUGCGAAUAAUUCCAGCAAGUGCCAAGGGGCUAGUUGAGAAAUAACUUCAUGAGG